rnacentral:lncRNA from 1 species
GAUUCUGUCUACUGGGGGCUUAUUUGACCUUAUUUGGUCAGUUACCGGAGGUAUUGUAGGUGCGGGGGUGGUAUUUGUCGGGAAUGGAGGUUGUGGAACAGCCGUAUUAGUUUGAAUGUAUUGGUUGAACCAAUCAUUCAUCAUGCUAUAGAAAGCUUGUCUAGCUUCAUCAUUCGGGUAACUAGCAUUAGGUUGAGAGUCCACCG